CUGUACAUCUAACUACUUUUCCCUGUCUAGAGCAAGCAUGCAGUCUUGAAUGUGAAUAUUAGACUUGCUUGAAAACCCAUCAAGGAAUUAAACUAUGAAGUAUGACCAGACCAACCCAGAUCAUGCUGCAUUACAUGUCCUGCUUACUGCAUGAACACACCCUGUGGAUCACACCAGAUAGGCUGUGUUCCUUUGGGCUCGUCUUGAGGGAGAAGGCCGAAGCAAACGACUGCACACAAAAGUCGAGGAGUGAAGUCGGGGGAGGUGCAUCUGCGACAUCCGAAAUGUCGGACACUGCUGUGGUUUUCCAACAGCUAGGCUCUGUGCAGUAUUGCCAUUGUUUCUAAACAAUGUUCUUUGUAAUGUUGAAAUAAAUGUCUCUAACACCCAUAUCACACA